AUUGAACGCUGGCGGCAGGCCUAACACAUGCAAGUCGAGCGGUAACACAGGGAGCUUGCUCCUGGGUGACGAGCGGCGGACGGGUGAGUAAUGUCUGGGAAACUGCCUGAUGGAGGGGGAUAACUACUGGAAACGGUAGCUAAUACCGCAUAACGUCGCAAGACCAAAGAGGGGGACCUUCGGGCCUCUUGCCAUCAGAUGUGCCCAGAUGGGAUUAGCUAGUAGGUGGGGUAACGGCUCACCUAGGCGACGAUCCCUAGCUGGUCUGAGAGGAUGACCAGCCACACUGGAACUGAGACACGGUCCAGACUCCUACGGGAGGCAGCAGUGGGGAAUAUUGCACAAUGGGCGAAAGCCUGAUGCAGCCAUGCCGCGUGUAUGAAGAAGGCCUUCGGGUUGUAAAGUACUUUCAGCGGGGAGGAAGGCGUUGAGGUUAAUAACCUCAGCGAUUGACGUUACCCGCAGAAGAAGCACCGGCUAACUCCGUGCCAGCAGCCGCGGUAA
rnacentral:rRNA from 1 species